CAGGUGCUGAGCAUGUGGGACAGAUGCUGCUGGCUAGCUUCCCCAACAGCUAUUUCAACCUCUUUCCCUUGCCUAUUUCUCUUACUACAGAGGCUAAAAAUAAGCGAAGAAAAAAAAAUCCCUUUCUCAGCCACCAAGGAGAGGCUCCGUUCUGGCCAAUGAGCCACAAAGGGAAAGCCUUCUGUGGGAUCGUCUGACAAGGACAGAGUCUUGUGAGUUGAAAAGCUGUCUGUCCCUUUAUCCUGCCUUGACUGAGGAUGUGACGCCUGGAAUGGUGAUGCCUGGUGCCGUGAUGCAGUCACCAUAUAAUCUUGAGGUGACAGGCAUGAGGCCAGAACGUCAACACUGAGGAUGGCAAAACAGAAAGACAGAAAGCUUCCUGGUCCUCGAUAACAUUGCUGGGCAGAUACCUCUGCCACAGGCCUCUGACUUCUCACGUGAGAAAAACAAAUCUCCUAUAGUGUAAGCCGCUGUUAAUUGGCUGUUCCCACUCUCGUAGCUGGAAGCGUCCCUACCUCACAGCUGCGCAGAUGGUGCUGCACAGUGAGUGAUAGAUGCACUGCGUGUGACCACGGAGAGUCAGGGGUACAGGUGAGCCUAAGCUACACCAGGCCCAGAAGAAUGAAUGGAAGAAGCCAUGGCUGCUCAUUUCUGCUUGACCCUCUGACUCUGGGAGGACGUGCAGGUCUCCAGGAAAAUGCCUUGAAGACACAACAAAGCCGAGUAUACAGCCCCCCCAGGUCUCCUGCCUGAGUCACUACAUUCCUUAAGAGAUACAUGACCCUAGUCUUUGCCUUUUCUUCCGUAUGAGAUAAAGUCUGACAGGUUGGUGAUGACGCUUCUGUAAUCUAUAACACGCUGUACUCUUACACCCAAAGCUCGAUGUAUUCUGCUUGUAGCGUCUGAGCAAGUGUGAUGUGAUUUUCCAUGUACUGAACCUCCACCGCCUAUAUAACAAGCUGUGGGCUGAAAUCCUGUGUGGGACCUCAGUAAGACUUCCGAGUAAAACUAACUUUAAUUCUUGAAAAGCUUGGUUUAUCUUCUUCAUUUGACAGUUUCAGGAACAAGAGAAAGUCCCUGCAGAAUUUCAAGCAGGAGCAACUCAUGAUACAGUUUUUAAAAAGUGUCACAUGGUCAGGGAUGGGGUAGGAUGGUGGCAGGGAGAGAGAGGGGUGGGCAUAACUGUCAAAUGACUACAGGAGGGAUCCUUGUGGUGAUGGAACUGUUCAGAACCUUGACUGUAUCAGUGUCAAUAUCCUGGUUGUGAUCCCAGUAUUUUGCAAGAUGUUAUUACUGGGGGGAACUGGGUAACACAGCAUCUCUAUUAUGUCUUACAACUGUAUGCAAAUCUAUAAUGAUGUCAAAAUUAAAAGUUGAAUUUUUU
rnacentral:lncRNA from 1 species